ensembl:lncRNA
AAGUCUGUUUAUAAAGGUGAAUGCAUUUUUAGGACAGAAGUGGAGAUUAAAUACAUUACAGUCUUCUCUUAUUUUGAUUUUUUAGAAUUCUGCAAGUAUAUUCUAGGAUGUUGACCAGCCCUUGAUGAGAAAAUUGGCAGGAACUUCUUUCCGGCAUUGCACUCUGAAAAGUAUAUGAGGAAGAAAAUACAAGGAAUUAGGAAUCAGAGCUACAGAAGAGAACUGCAGCACCGAGAAAGGAAUAUAAAACACCGGAAGUUUCACAGUGUAUUUUCUUUUCUCAUUUAUCAAAUAGUAUUCUGGCCAGGGCCUAUUUGAAAUGUACUGUAUUAAAAUGAUCAGGAAAAAAAAAAAAAAGUACUGUUUUUUGCAUGGUUUACAAUAUUUUGUUAACAUCUUAUCAGCUUUAAACUGUAUGCCCAGUGAUGGGUAGCAUAAAAUGUAGUAUAUGUUUAAUACGGGGUUCUUGUGAUGCUCUCUGCAGUCUACCUGCUGGUGUUUUUGAAAUCCAUUUCCAGAAGGAACCACACUCCAAGAAAAUGUUUAAAUUUUGCAUUAUUACAGGUAUAAUCUGAUAGAAGUGGGUUAGCCUGUGAUUCAGUGUGGCUUGUGUGCAGCCGAACUGUGGGCCUUGCUGCAGCCUGCAUGACUGGUAUGGCAGCGCAAAGCCGCGCUGGUGUGCGAGGCUGUUAGGCAAUCGGUAUUCCUGGCUGAGGAAGACAGUGAAUCAGCAGGCAUGGCUGAAGGUGACAGUGACAAAUGGCCCCGAGUCUCUGCUGUGUAGCCAGCACAGUCAAGUCUUGUUCUUCAGCCCAGUGAUGAAACUGGUGAGGUUCCCUCCAGAGGAUCACAUCAACAGCAAUUUAUCCUCAAUUCUUCAAAGACCAUGGCGUGAGUCUUCUGACUUUGAGACACAUGCAGAUAUGAGUCUCUGGCCCAGAGGCAAGAAACUGGAUUUCUCUUGCUUAGAAGAAUGUGCAUUUAUUGUAAAUCUUCCAUCCACUUGGGAAUUCUUCUGGGGCCCUGGUUUGUAGGUGUUUCAUUCUUUAAAUAUUGCAUUACAAUAAUAUUCAGAAAUAUCUGAGUCAGUAAAUGUUUUCCCAAUGACUGUGAGAAGCAGGAGUGUGACAAAGCACAGAUCAGUACCUUGAGAUCUGCGAAGCCUAUAU